rnacentral:rRNA from 1 species
AUACGGAGGAUCCGAGCGUUAUCCGGAUUUAUUGGGUUUAAAGGGAGCGUAGGCGGGAGAUCAAGUCAGCUGUGAAAUGUAGGCGCUCAACGUGUGCACUGCAGUUGAAACUGGUUUUCUUGAGUGCGUAAGGGGCAGGCGGAAUUCGUCGUGUAGCGGUGAAAUGCUUAGAUAUGACGAAGAACUCCGAUCGCGAAGGCAGCUGGCCGGGCCGCGACUGACGCUGAAGCUCGAAGGUGCGGGUAUCGAACAGGAUUAGAUACCCUGGUAGUCCGCACAGUAAACGAUGGAUACUCGCUGUCGGCGAUAUACGGUCGGUGGCCAAGCGAAAGCGUUAAGUAUCCCACCUGGGGAGUACGCCGGCAACGGUGAAACUCAAAGGAAUUGACGGGG